GGUCACUAAAGGAGUGAGUAUAGAUUCCCUUUAUUGCUCUUAUAACUCCCAGCAGCCCCUCUGUUUCCCAUUAGACUGAAGUUGUGUUGUGAUUGGGUGCUGGGGCUGCUCACAGCUUGUGAUGCACUCAGUUUGGGUUAUCCAAAGAGAAGCAGAGAGACGACCGCCCUCGGAACAUCCCACAGAACUAAUUGCAAAGGAGGUUUUAAUGGGGCAGUGUGGGCUGUGGCAGUGCAUGAUUUUAAGUUUUCAAGCUGAGAUC